rnacentral:rRNA from 1 species
UACGGAGGGUGCGAGCGUUGUUCGGAAUCACUGGGCGUAAAGCGCGUGUAGGCGGCCCAUUAAGUCUGAUGUGAAAGCCCGGGGCUCACCCCCGGAAGUGCAUUGGAAACUGAUGGACUCGAGUCCCGGAGAGGAGAGUGGAAUUCCUGGUGUAGCGGUGAAAUGCGUAGAUAUCGAGGAGGAACACCGGUGGCGAAGGCGGCUCUCGUGGAGCGGUGACUGACGCUGAGACGCGAAAGCGUGGGGAGCAAACAGGAUUAAGACGUACCCGUUGUAAGUCCGAGACCAAGUCCUCGU